rnacentral:tmRNA from 1 species
GGGGGCGAAUGGAUUCGACGGGAUUGAAGAUCCAAUAGAAUGCGCGCCGUGGUUCUCAGGAAGGCCACGAUAAAAAACCUGAAUAAAGUCAAAUGCCAAUAACUUUGGCACCGUCGCUUACGCUUAGUUAAGUGACCGUUCUUCUCCGAUCUCGCCUGUGGGUUGGUCCAGAGCGUCGAUAAUACGGGCUGGUCUCACGGAAUCGGUUUGUGUUUCGGGAGAUGAGACUCAGCAGACUCGUUCUUCCUCAGUUGGCUGAUUGGCGCGGGAAGAACUAAAACCAGCAAUCAGCUACGCGCGUAGUGCUCUGUUCGGUCGCUUUUUCGGACGAGGGUUCAAUUCCCUCCGCCUCCA